UUAGGAUGGCUACUAUCCAAACAACAACAGAAAACAGUAAGUGUGGGUGAAGAUGUGAAGAAAUUGGAACUCUAGUGCACUGGUGGAAGGAAGGUAAAAUGAUGUCUCCACUGUUGAAAAUAGUAUCGUGCUUCCUCAAAAACUUAAACAGAAUUACCAUGUGAUCCAGCAAUCCCACACCUGGGUAUAUACCCAAAGGAUUGAAAGCACAAUCUCAAAGAGGUGUUUAUUCACCCACAUUCAUAGCAGUGUUAUUCACAAUGGCCGAAAGUUGGAAGGAACCUAAGUGUUCACCAGUGAUGAAUGGAUACACCAAAUGUGGUCUACCCAUAUAGUGGACUGUUAUUCAGCCUAAAAAAUGAAGGAGAUUGUGCCGCAUGCUACCACAUGAAUGAACCUGGAAGACAUUGUGCUGAGUGAAUAAGCCAGCCACAAAAGAGCCAAGUUUACAUGACCAUGUGGUCCUCUUCGUGCAAGGAGGCUGCCAUGCAGCUCCAAACACUGCAGCAGCAUCAGAGUGAGAGCCGAGGCCCAGGGAUCCACCAUACUCCCGGUGAGCUACAAACACGGCCACGACCACGUGAGUGCCAGGAUCACCAUCUCUGCCCACCUGCCCCUUAAGGUGUCUCCUGUGACUGCCCUGUGGGUUUCCACGAGCCCCGUCCUGCACACCCAGAACAAGGAGGCUGUGGAGACCCUGCCUUUGGCAAUGACUGUAACUUUCACUGUCCACUUCCAUAACAGCUCUGGAGACAUCUUCCAGUCUCACACUUCGGUCCUCAACUUUGCCACUAACAGGUUGGGUGUGGGCGAUGCACAUUUCUCCUGCAAAGGCCUACCUGGGCGGUACCCAGAUCUGAUUGAUAGAGGCGACUGGAGGUGGCACAGAGAAGCUGGUGCCACCCAAGGAAGAUGGCCUGCCACACGAGACCACGCCAUGCAGGGCCACAGAGGGGGAGCACCACUGCCCUAGGGGGCUGCAGCCCAGCUCAGAGAAGACACAUCAGCAUUGGUCCCAGGAGGAAGGAGUAGGGCGAGGGCUGGGGCUCCACAGAGUGCCCUCGAGGGCCAGAAGGUUGUGUCCAGGUGUUGGUGACCCUUCCAACCGGGGCUUUCCACAGGCCCUGGGACAGACGUGUUCCAGGGACAGGUUUAGGGCAUUGCCUUAUGGGAAGAACCCAGGUUUGGAGUCAGGCCUGCCGCUAGCCCCAGCUCUGCCCUUCGUGGGGCUGUGAGCUUGGGCAAGGCAGGUCAACUCCCAAGCCUGUUUCCACACCUGUCAUGUAGGGAAUGUGGCCUAGUCCCCGGGGCCUUCAACUGACGGGGUGGUCGUGAGGCCCUUUGGCAUCUGCCGAGCUCGCACUGGCAGUAGUGGCCCUGUCAGCGUGGGGCCCUCAGCCCACCGUAGCAGUCCCUUUGCCCUCUUGUGGCAGGAGUGCCUCCGAGAAACCCAGUCGGGGCUCAGGUCAGAAGGGCGUGGAGGUGAGGGAAGCAGGGAGAGACCCCAGCCUCCCCCACCCGGGCCGAGCUCCCGCACCGAAGCGGCCGAAGCCAACGCUGACUGAGCACGUGCGCGCUCCGGGCGCCGCGCCAGGGGCUUCACCCCUGUGACGUCACUCAUCCGCGCGCCGGGCAUGCGCACCGUGGGGGGAAUGGGCGGAGGCCGCGUUCCUUGUCCCGGUUACACAGCUCGGCGGGACCUGCGCCCUCCUAGCGUGUCCGGUUCUCUGCUGGGAAGAGGGUCAAGAAGCUUCUGUGGCCCACGUUGCCCCCCGGGCCCCGGCUCUCCGUGCCGGAGUGUGGGGACGAUGAUGCCGGCAGGUCCUGGCCGAGCGCCGUGGGCUCCGUCAGGACAGACGACCGAGGGGGUCCGGCUUGCUCUGCCUGCCCGGGGGGUCUGUCCUCUGGGGCAGCCACUCGGUAAACUCGAGUCGGAGCCACAUCUGGGACCUCAGCCGGCAGAAAUCUUCGCUCAGCAGAGGCCCUAGACUGCGUGUCCCUCUCUGGAGUUGGGGGUUCUUUCUGGAGACUGAGAGCCCUCCUCCUUCCCUGUGCCUGGAGACGGCUGUGCACAUCGGGAAGGGCCCCACCAACAGCACCUGGGCUGCCCGCGCAGUCGGCGCGUGCCCGACGCUGCUCCGAGUGUGGGACACGGCACACCUGGGCCUCUCGACUUCGUCCCACUGCCAGGCCUGCAGGCCAUCUCCCCAGGGCUGUCUGGGGGCUUAUUGGUGGGGGAUGUCCCCACCAAGUGGCCACUGUUCUGGUCAGCCUGGGAGGUGGGGAGAUCCUGACCCAGGGAGACCUGUGGCGUGAUCGGCACUUGCAACUGCAGGGGCCCUGGGGAGGGGCUCAGUGCCCGUCACUGCUAGAAUCCGGCAGUGGAACCUAACAGUUGGCACAUUUAGUGCUGUGGCUCUGCGGGUUGGGCCAGCUAUUUGCAGAAGGUGCUCCCUGUGACUGUGACAAUAAAGCUGUGCUGUCCCGGAAAGAGCCUGUGAGAGUGGUCAGGGACAGGAUGGCAUGGGCUAAGGUGUGUGGGGUUAAAAGGCAGAGCCUGGAGGGCUAGAGCAGAGGGUGUGGGGGGAAAGUGGGGUCUGGCUUCAUGAUCAGAUCACGAAAUGCAGUGGAUUCUGGGCAGUCCAGUGCAGGUUAAGAGUGUGGACUCUAGAGCCAGGCUGCCUGGGUCAAAUCCCAGCUCUGCCACUGGGAGGCUGUGUGACCUCGGGAAAAUU